rnacentral:rRNA from 1 species
AGUGAACGCUGGCGGUAGGCCUAACACAUGCAAGUCGAACGGCAGCACAGUAAGAGCUUGCUCUUACGGGUGGCGAGUGGCGGACCGGUGAGGAAUACAUCGGAAUCUACUUUUUCGUGGGGGAUAACGUAGGGAAACUUACGCUAAUACCGCAUACGACCUACGGGUGAAAGCAGGGGAUCUUCGGACCUUGCGCGAUUGAAUGAGCCGAUGUCGGAUUAGCUAGUUGGCGGGGUAAAGGCCCACCAAGGCGACGAUCCGUAGCUGGUCUGAGAGGAUGAUCAGCCACACUGGAACUGAGACACGGUCCAGACUCCUACGGGAGGCAGCAGUGGGGAAUAUUGGACAAUGGGCGCAAGCCUGAUCCAGCCAUACCGCGUGGGUGAAGAAGGCCUUCGGGUUGUAAAGCCCUUUUGUUGGGAAAGAAAAGCAGCAGGUUAAUACCCCGCUGUUCUGACGGUACCCAAAGAAUAAGCACCGGCUAACUUCGUG